UACGUAGGGGGCAAGCGUUGUCCGGAAUCAUUGGGCGUAAAGAGCGUGUAGGCGGUCCGGUAAGUCAGCUGUGAAAGUCAAGGGCUCAACCCUUGAAUGCCGGUUGAUACUGUCGGGCUAGAGUCCGGAAGAGGCGAGUGGAAUUCCCGGUGUAGCGGUGAAAUGCGCAGAUAUCGGGAGGAACACCAAUGGCGAAGGCAGCUCGCUGGGACGGUACUGACGCUGAGACGCGAAAGCGUGGGGAGCAAACAGGG
rnacentral:rRNA from 1 species